GACGAACGCUGGCGGCGUGCUUAACACAUGCCAGUCGUACGGUGAGGCCCUUUCGGGGGUACACGAGUGGCGAACGGGUGAGUAACACGUGAGUAACCUGCCCACAACUUUGGGAUAACGCUAGGAAACUGGUGCUAAUACUGGAUAUGUGCUCCUGCUGCAUGGUGGGGGUUGGAAAGCUCCGGCGGUUGUGGAUGGACUCGCGGCCUAUCAGCUUGUUGGUGGGGUAGUGGCCUACCAAGGCGGCGACGGGUAGCCGGCCUGAGAGGGUGACCGGCCACAGUGGGACUGAGAUACGGCCCAGACUCCUACGGGAGGCAGCAGUGGGGAAUAUUGCACAAUGGGCGCAAGCCUGAUGCAGCAACGCCGCGGGCGGGAGGACGGCCUUCGGGUUGUAAACCGCUUUCAGCAGGGACGAAGCUUUUUGUGACGGUACCUGCAGAAGAAGCACCGGCUAACUACGUG
rnacentral:rRNA from 1 species